AAAGAAGCUGUAUGUGCGCAACGAAGCUGCUAACUUUGUUACAAGUGGUUGGAUCCAUUUUUCUUUA
rnacentral:tRNA from 1 species